CGGUCCAUCUGGGGAGGAGCGGGCAGAGAUCAGCACCCUGAGUGCCUGCAUUGGUGCCUCUGCUCUGGAUCCGGGAGCUCAGCCGCAGCUGUGGCUGCAAAGCACUCUGGCGCUGUGAUCCCUGUCCAGAGAAACCCCCACCUCUCUUUUUUUCCUUUAUCUUUUUUUCCCCUUUUUCUGCAUUCUCAUCCUUCCCUCCCAGUCUGAACUUGGCUGCUCAACAGCUUUUCCAAAAAAAAAAAAAAAAAAAAAAAAAAAAAAAAAAGAAAAGUCCCAGCUGGCUUUUGGCACAGACACAGUGCCGUAAUUAAUGUGAAAGCCUUGAUUACUUUUUUUUCAAUCCCCCAACUUUGGCUCUUCUCAAAACAUGUGAGUCCCGGAGGGCUCUGCUCCGUGCUGACGUGGGCUGUGCUGCACCAGAGAUCCUGCACCUCUCUGCCUCAUUACUUCCUCUUUUGAAGGCUGACCACCAUCGGAGGCAAGCUCGCAUCGAUUGUGCAGCUCCGGCCACUGGAUUCUGGGCACGGAGCCCCAUUCUGUGCCCCAGAGGGCUUACUCUCCUGGUUUUAUUUUUUUCCCUUUUUUAAAAAGAAGACAAACGACCUCCAGCCUCCGUUCUGCUGCGUCCUCAGCAGGAGAUGCCACCCCAGAGUUAUGGUCGGUCGCUGCAUCCCUCCCACAGGAAUGCUCUGUUUGCAGGCUGUUGUUUAACUGAUGCCACAGAACUCUGAAAUUUGUCCUGAGAGAGGAAUCUGCAGCAGCCAGGUACAAAAUGAGUCCCCACCGCACAGAUGCACGCUGCUGUCUCUCUACCUCUGACCUCACCGCAAUGGAAUUGAUGCCGAUACGAUGCCCCAGUGGUGGAAGACAAGGGGAUGGCAAAGGAGACAAACCCGCAGUGCUCCCUGCCCAUCAGUGGGAGCACGGUUGGCCUUUGCGUUUGGCCGUUUGCGCUCGCCCUGCACUUACUUCGCUG